rnacentral:rRNA from 1 species
UACGGGGGGGGCGAGCGUUGUUCGGAAUUACUGGGCGUAAAGGGCUUGUAGGUGGCCAACUAAGUCAGACGUGAAAUCCCUCGGCUUAACCGGGGAACUGCGUCUGAUACUGGAUGGCUUGAGUGUGGGAGAGGGAUGCGGAAUUCCAGGUGUAGCGGUGAAAUGCGUAGAUAUCUGGAGGAACACCGGUGGCGAAGGCGGCAUCCUGGACCAUUACUGACACUGAAAAGCGAAAGCCAGGGGAGCAAACGGG